rnacentral:rRNA from 1 species
UACGUAGGGGGCAAGCGUUGUCCGGAUUUAUUGGGCGUAAAGAGCGUGUAGGCGGCCAUUCAGGUCAGCUGUGAAAACUCGAGGCUCAACCUCGAGACGUCGGUUGAAACCGUUUGGCUAGAGUCCGGAAGAGGAGAGUGGAAUUCCCGGUGUAGCGGUGAAAUGCGCAGAUAUCGGGAAGAACACCCGUGGCGAAGGCGGCUCUCUGGGACGGUACUGACGCUGAGACGCGAAAGCGUGGGUAGCAAACAGG